UUAAAUAGGUACCUAUUAUUUUGACAAAAUGACACAUAGAUUUUUUUUAAUAUUUUUCUGAUAACCAGCAUAACUUGCCUCAACACCCAGUUCCGGCUUGACGUUGCAUUACGGGACACCCUGUAUAAAGAUGAAAAUUAAUCUGAGUCAAAACGUUAGUUUAACAAAAAAAAAAAUAACUUGAAAGUAGCAACCCUGGUUGUUCGUUUCAGCAAAUAAUAGAUAGACUCACAGCAACAGUAUUAGGAUACAGGCUGGAUGCGCUGUUUGGAUAAUUAUCGUACCGAUUCAUUCCCCCGUCCAAAGGAAGCAAACCUUUACUCAUGAUGAACGGGUUCACAUAUUCACAGCAAGGCCAUACCCUGAACUACUACUGUUCAAAGAAAGACUCCGGUUGUAGAGCGAGAAUAAAACUAACUGCAGAAGGAGCAAUAAAAGAAGCCAUUUGCAACCACAUUCAUCCUCCUCCAAGAUAUUUAGUGACGAAUACAGGGAAUUAUGUGAAGAUAUAUCCUUAGCAACAUUAGCAGCGAUUUGUAGACAAUAUAAUUUAAAAGUACUUAGAACGAUAACUCAAAUUAAAACGUUUUGUCACGAAAAAUACGCAGCAUUACAUACAGCAUCAGUAUUCUGCCUUUAUGCUUUAGUUCAUUAGGUCAAUGUAAAUAAAUUAAUGUGAUUUGAUUAAAUUUUAUUACGUUUUAAAGUUCAUUAUAAUCGAGGCAGUCUUAAGGUUCAUAACCUUCUAUUUUUAGUUACAAUUCUGAAAGAUUUUAUCAUACCUACGUUUCCGGGGAAAAUAUAGGUACAAUUCCGUCAAUAUUAUAACCGUUUUAAAUGUCUUCAGUCAUAAAAAGAUAGUGAAUUAUCUUUCCAGAACCAUUGUACCGGUUCAUUCCCUCGUUCAAAGGAUGCAAACCUUUACUGAUGAUGAACGGGUUCACAUAUUCACAGCGAGAUCAGUCCCUGGACUACUACUGUUCAGAGAAAGACUCCGGUUGUAAAGCGAGGAUAAAACUAACUGCAGAAGGAGCAAUAAAAGAAGCCAUUUGCAACCACAUUCAUCCUCCUCCAAGAUAUUUAGUGACGAAAACAGGAUAUUAUGUGAAGUUGUGAAUUUAAAUAUAUUUUAGCUGUAGGCUGUGCAAAAGUGUUACGUAAGUGUGGAAUCAUUGUACCGGUUCAUUCCCUCGUCGAAAGGCAAACCUUUGCUGAUGAUGAACGGGUUCACAUAUUCACAGCAAGCUCAGUCCCUGAACUACUACUGUUCAAAGAAAAAUAAUGGUUGUAGAGCGAGAAUAAAACUAACUGCAGAAGGAGCGAUAAAAGAAGCCAUUUGCAACCACAUUCAUCCUCCACCAAAAUAUAUAGUGACGAUAACAGGAGAUUAUGUGAAGUUGUGAAGUUACAUACAUUUUAGCUGUGGGCUGUGGCAAAAGUGUUACGUAAUCUACCAGCUAGUCCCAAUAAAGGAGUGAAAGUUGUAAAAAAAUAGCUCCACCUGCGGAAUUACAAAUUGCUACAAGUGACAAAAUUAACUAACCUAAGCCUUGAAAACUGUACGAUGAAGGAAUACAACUGAUUCGUGAUUUUUACCAUGGGGAUCACAUUAGUACAUAAAUGCCCGGCAUGAAAGAUGUGAAAACAGUCAAGUCGAAUGCGGGAAUGAAGUUACGAAUGCGAGAGAACAAUGAUUAAAACAGAAAAGCUUUCGAAAUGUUGAACGAUACUCCUCUUAAUUAUUGACUUGUUAAAAGAAAUAACGAGACACUACUUAAUAAACGUUUCACAAUUUACAGACUUAACAAUCGUACCGGUUCAUUCUCUCGUCCAAAGGCAAACCAUUACUGAUGAUGAACGGGUUCACAUAUUUCCGACAAGCUCAGACCCUAAACUACUACUGUUCAAAGAAAAACAACGGUUGUAGAGCAAGAAUAAAACUAACUGCAGGAGGAUCCAUAAAGGACGCCAUUUGCAACCACAUUCAUCCUCCACCAAAAUAUCUAGUGACGAAAGCAGGGGAUUAUGUGAAGUUGUGAAGUUACAUUCAUUUUGGACCCAUACUCUAUUUCAUUGUGCUCUGACAGGGUAUCGAAGACUUUGCCAACUUUGUUUGGAUACUAAUCCAUAUCCAUAGUUCUGAAAGUAUAUGCUACAGACAAGUGUAGUGUAAAAAUAAAAGAACGUUAUUCAACAAAAUGUUAUUGAAUUCAAAUGAGUUUAACGCAAAAGUUUGAUUAUUUUUAUUUUAAAGAUAUAUAAAAUAUGCUUGUAUCACGAGUGAGCUCACCACAAUAGUCGAGCGGUGGCGGGGACCGAACCCGCGUUCCCCGGAUCACGAGUCGGCCAGUCCGACCCCUUCACCGUUCGGCUAUCGUGGCUUACAAUUACAAUUAUUAUUCUAACUCUAAUCAAUGAUGAAAGAUUCUAACUUCCAGGACAGUGGUACACAAUGAUACAGACUUCUAAAGGAACCCAGCUGCUGAUGAUGAACGGGUUUACUUAUCGCAAGGAUAACAGAAGCAGGAACUAUUACUGCUCGAGGAGGAUGAGAGCGGGAUGCAGGGCUCGCGUGAAGUUGUCCGAAGAAGGGAACGUGUUUCAGGAAAAAUGACAUACAAGUUCAUCCCGUCAAGUAAAGGCAAGCCACUGCUGAUGAUGAACGGGUUUACAUACUCACAAAAUGCAAGCUCUCUGAACUAUUACUGUUCCAAGAAGAAUGCUGGGUGUAAAGCAAAAAUAAAAUUGAAUAAGGAUGGAGCCAUAAAAGAAGCCAAUUGCAGCCAUUUUCAUGCACCGCCAAAAUAUAUUGUGACACAUGAAGGAAAUUAUAUUAAAUUGAGUUAAAAUAACAAAAAACUGGCCAAGUAGGGGAGACUGGGUACGGUUGAAACAAAGGACGGUUGAAACAGAGCAAAUAUCUCGUAAACGGUUCCGCGAGGAGUUAGGGGUUCUAGGGGAAAAAGAAGCUGACAACAGGUCCGAACACGAAUUUAAUGCCUAAAACUUCCUAACGCGUUGACGUUGUGUGCAAAACCCCAUAUUGUUUUUUACUACCCAAAACUAAGUAUUUUUCUUCAGACAUUAACGCUUAUACUACCUGUUCUUUUUAUGUGAAUGUAUCGAGUGUGCGUUUGCGAUUAAAAUGAAGCUUGUAGAAUAAGGUCCAGUAACUAUUUUUAAUGUGUUAUCAUUAGUGUCGAAACUAUAAAGUAUAUUUUACCAAAAGUGGGGUUGGGGACGGUUGAAACAUUUUUUGUGGGUACGGUUGAAACAGAAAAUUUAUUAAUGUUUAUUUUUUGUAGAUACCGAGAGUUUGGGUAAGGAAUAUUUCCAGAGAGGAAAUUGACUUAGUAAAGCAUAAGAGGAGGUAAAAGCUGGAGAUUCACUGCGGAAAGUGGCGGAAAAGGAUAGUUUGAAAACAAAAAAAGAUUUUCGUUAACUUUAUUCAGAAUGGUAAUAUUAUUUUAUUAUUAAUGUUUAUUAGGUUUGGAAAUAUCGUUUAGUUAAUCAUAUUUCUGUUAUUUUUUUAAAUGUUUACUACUUAUCAAAGGCUAAUUAAUGUUUUAGAAAUAUUAAAUACUUAGACUGAUUAAUGUCGUCAUGUGGUACCAUAAUUUUAAUAUUCGUAGUAUUAAUGAUAAAUAAAACACGUUUUAUUAGUACUUUUUGUAUUAUUUGUAUGUAUUUCAACAGAUUCCAAUCGCUGUUUCAACCGCCCCUGGCAUGGGGACGGUUGAAACAAAAUUUCUUUUUUUUUAAAUUUCGUAUAUUUCUAUGAAUAGUAACCCGGGAACUAUAAUGAUACAGCCAUAUCAUAGCUAAAACUUCAAAUUUCAAUUUCACGUAUCAUAAUCGUCACUUGGUUAUUAAACAACAAAAUUAUUGACAAUUAAAGCAAAAUUGUUUCAACCGUACCCAGUCUCCCCUACGUGUCGUGCCACGCGCAGUUCGUAGUUGUCUGUCGUUACCACAAUAUACUUCAAAUUUGGGGCUUCACUCAUUUCUCACAAAAUUACAAGGAUUAAAGUUUUUAAUUUUUAGUUUUCACCUCUUCCUUCAAAAACAAGUGACAGCGUGGGUAGCUUAACACUAAUCUAAUAAGCUAAUAUUUUAUAUCAUGCGAUAGCCAAUAAAAUUAUCUAUUAGUAGAAGUAGAAAACAGACACAAGUUUCUUUAAAAUAAAGGAGUAAGAAUGGAUUUAAUUAGAAAAAUACAUAUUUUUUUCACUUCUUUUUCAGUUAUUUUCUAACACAAUAAA